rnacentral:lncRNA from 1 species
UUAUUAUUUUGAGAUAAAUUCCAUCAAUACUUCGUUUAUUGAGAGUUUUUCGCAUGAAGGGCUGUUGAAUUUUGACGAAAGCCUUUUCUGCAUCUAUUGAGAUAAUCAUGUGUUUUUUUUUCCAUUGGUUCUGUUCAUGUGAUGCAUUAUGUUUAUUGAUUUGUGCAUGUUGAACCAGCCUUGAUAUGCUGCUGGAUUCGUUUGCCAGUGUUUUAUUGAGGAUUUUCGCAUCGAUGUUCAUCAGGGAUACUGGCCUAAAAUUCUCUUUUUUGGUUGUGUCUGUACCAGGCUUCGGUAUCAGGAUGAUGCUAGCCUCAUAAAAUGAUUCAGCGAGGAUUCCCUCUAUUUCUAUUUAUUCAAAUAGUUUCAGAAGGAAUGGUACCAGCUCCUCUUUGUAUCUCUGGUAGAAAUAGGCUGUGACUCCAUCUGGUCCUGGACUUCUUUUGCCUAGAGAACAUCGUUCCAAAUGAAGAAAUGCUUCUGGGAAACAUGAUUUGAUUGAAGUGGAAGUUAAGACUGCCACUCAACCAUUUUGGAUGUCCCUUACUUCUGAAUCAACAAAGAUGGGGGUUACAUCAUGGCUGGGUGGUUGGAGUACUUGUCUACAAAGAGGUCAUUAAUCAUCAUAUGUAUUCUACCUCAUCCAAUUACGAAAAGCUUUUCCUGGAUUGAGUACAGAGCAGGUAAAGUUGAACAAUGUUGCUUGCUCUAGUAUUUAUUAACAUGACACCAUCUGUUCUUAAACAGUA